GCGAAGAUUUUUGUGGCUGGGAGUUCUUGCCGUAGGAAAAACGAAGCAUGAACUUGAAGGAGCUCAAGAUUUUUCUACUACUUUGCUAAUAGAUUUGUGAGCACAUGCAGAGCAGCCAAGAUGAAACCUUCCGUUCUCAUCAGCUUCUGCAACUGAAAAUUCACCUUCUAGGCAGUCUAAUUAUUCCAAAGCAGCGGUUGUCAAUGGACUUGGCAUGCCUGGUUUUGCUUCGCGACGAGUUGCAUUCUGAAAGUGACUAGGGAGGGAGGGAGGGAGAGGGAGAGAGAUUGUUAGAGGUUGAUUCGCACACCAUCAAUCCGAUUUUUCUAUAAUUAUUUUAUGUACAUCUACUUUAUUUCUUCUUUGCUUUAGGGAACAUAGGAGGUAUUAGCCAUGUGCGUGUUAAUUGCUGUUACAAACAUGGCAAUGGAAUUCUGUAAGGUUAAAUUUGUUUCCCAAGGUGGUGUUGAUGUUUGUGCUUCUUUUUCUAUUGGUGCGAAAAAUGAUUCCUUGGGCGAUUCGAUGGAGCCACUUGUGAUCUUGUCGACCGCUACACCCGCUGGCAUCAAGAUGAGGUCAUGGUGUGGGCUUUGCGGUUUCGAGGGCGUGAAAUGGCGUGGAAUACAGAAAUGUCAGUAGCCUGUAUCCUUGAGUAAUGCUUGCUAAAGAAAAAUCUAACUGGGAUGAAAAGCCAAAAAUUUGGGGCACAAUGGGAGAUGCUAGAGGAUGAUAAGAAAGAUGAGGAGAAAUCUCAGGUGUAGUUCUUUCAGAACUUUUGUUCUUUUCUUAGAGCUCCUGAGAACUAUUUGCAGACAGUGUUGUGAUAUUCCCAUAAUUGUGUGACAAUAUUGUUCCGACAGUGAAAUACCAAUAUAAAUGUCGUGCUCUAUUUGCUGGGAUAUUCUGUUAUUGUUCAUAGUAUAUUCAAGGUUAGUUUUAUGACUUUGUCAUCAUCCUAUCAUUUAUGGGUAUUUUCUUUAUGACCUCCACUGGAAUGAGUAACUUGUGGCAUUUUCCAUGCUUUUCUUCUAUAUAGUGGGAGGUUUCACCAAAGCUAACUGGUUCCAUGGAGGUUUCAUUACAGCUGAUUUUGUUUAAUUCUCCUAGAACCAUUACUAUUUUCUUAAAGAAAAGACCUAACAACAACUACUUUAAAUUGGAACAGUUCUACGAGAAGACAUAUUCAGUUUACUAUACCACAUAACGCGAACUUUUCUGCAAUCCGCAAAGGAAUUAUUCUACCAAGGGUCAUCUUGUGUUUAGCUGAUAAUGGAAAAUUACUUGGGAUAUGAAAUGGAAGCCUCCUCUACCAAAUUCAUCAGAAUAAAAACCACGUUUGUGUUUUCUUGCAAUACUGUUGGGAAAUGGCUCACUGGUAGUGUGUGCAUCCUAUUCUAAAUCAUCAUUUUGCAUUGUUUUGCCAUCACAUUUUUAAUAUCACUGUUUAUGUACUCGUUCAUUAUUGUGGAUGGAUGCGAAGUUCCAUCUCCAUGCAGGAUCUAGAAAAUAUAUUCCUCUUCUUUAACGAAGGGUACCGACCGUUGCUUUCUAAAGCUGCAACCUGUAUUUAGAUAUGCUAAUGUGAAUCGCAGGAACAUGCAGAUGUAUUCAACUUUUAGUUUCAUUGUUGUGCUAUUAAAACUAGGCGACAUAUUUAAAUUUUCUGUUAAAUUUGUCAACAUGAGUUUUUCACUUUGAAUCCAUUUCCACUUUGUAAUGUAACAAAACAUUCCCUUGAUAGUUGAUUGGUUGUAUUCUCCUCAUGAUAUGAUAUGGCGGGAAUGGAUGUCAUGAUAGAAUGUCAUCUUUUCUUCAUGUAGUAACUUACUUUUAGAUUCGAUAACUGCACUGUUUGGUUCGAAGGUGUUGUACAGAGAAUUUUAUGGUUGUAUUUUGAUAUUCCAUGUUGCUUUAUGGAAGUUAUCUACAUGCUUGCAAUCACAAGGUAUUUUAAUGGUAUGUUGCUUUAUGGUUGUAUUUUAUUGGUGUGCUUUUUGGCCCAUGUGUGGCUUGAUCUACCCUGUGUGGCCUGAUCUACUUUCCUGUCUGCUCUGCGUACGUUUGUCUGGAAUAGCUGAAGGAUGUUCAAGUUUGAGCAUGAUGCCGUGCUCUCACACACGUGAUGGAUGUUUAUGUUUCUCCGUGGACAUGCAUCCAAUCUGUUCUGUGCAUGUUUGCAAGUUAAGGCAAUGUUAUAUCAGUCAUAGAAUUGUGUGAAGCAACUGUCGAUGCAAUCCCCCUAUUUAGGUCCUGGACUAAUCGACUCUUAUGCAUUGUAAGUAUUGCUACUGGCCCUUUCUUCCUUCUUGACCUCCUUAUGACAAUUUUCACCUGUAAAUUCUGUUGGGCCAUGCUACUUAAUCUAACUCUUGUCAUGCUCC